CAAAGAGUAGUUUAAGUGAAAAAUGCUGGUUUUGGGGGCCAGAGAUGGGAAGUCUCUCUUUGA
rnacentral:tRNA from 1 species